AUGAUCUUGGUGUUCACCUUGAUGCUGGAGGUGCUCCUGUUCCUGAGAGCCGGAGCCCAGUCAGUGACCCAGCCUGACAGGCACGGCAUCACUGUCCCUGAAGGAGCCCACCUGGAGCUGAGGUGCAACUAUACAUCCACUUACUCACCGUAUCUCUUCUGGUACGUGCGGUACCCCAACCAAGGACUCCAGCUUCUCCUAAAGUACACGUCUGGAAACAGCCUUGUUUCAGGCAUCAAAGGUUUUGAGGCUGAAUUUAGGAAGAAUGAAACCUCCUUUCACCUGAGGAAAAUGUCAGCCUAUUGGAGCGACUCGGCAGAGUACUUCUGUGCUCUGGGUGACACAGUGCCUGAGUCUGCGGGGGGAGCUGAACACAAACCGCCUGAGACGUUGUAGCCUAAAAGACUCAGGGGCUCAGCCUGAGCAUAGUCUGUGAGGGCAAACAGCACAGAGAAUACAGAAUCUGGGAAGUGUUUUGUUCCUAUGGGCAUCUCAGAUUCUUUUCAUUUUCAUCUUUCCUUAUCUCUUCUUUUUUCUUCCCUUUUUUCCAUUUAUCUUUUCUUUCCUUUUUUUUUUUUGUUUUCCAUUUUGCAAAGGAAAGUUUUCUGAAGUUUGGAAUGUUUAUCCUCUUGAGUCAGGAUUCCAGAGGGAAUGAGGCUGUCUGAUCUUCAACAAGCUGGAAGGAGCUAC